rnacentral:rRNA from 1 species
GACGGAGGGUGCAAACGUUGUUCGGAAUCACUGGGCAUAAAGCGCACGUAGGCGGCGCGCUAAGUCAAGAGUGAAAGCCCCCGGCUCAACCGGGGAACUGCUCCUGAUACUGGCGUGCUCGAGGACGGUUGGGGUGAGUGGAACUCCUGGUGGAGCGGUGAAAUGCGUAGAUAUCAGGAGGAACACCGGUGGCGAAAGCG